GUGCUUAACACAUGCAAGUCGAACGGAAAGGCCCCUUCGGGGGUACUCGAGUGGCGAACGGGUGAGUAACACGUGGGCAAUCUGCCCUGCACUUCGGGAUAAGCCUGGGAAACUGGGUCUAAUACCGGAUAGGACCUUUAGGCGCAUGUCUUUAGGUGGAAAGCUUUUGCGGUGUGGGAUGGGCCCGCGGCCUAUCAGCUUGUUGGUGGGGUGAUGGCCUACCAAGGCGACGACGGGUAGCCGGCCUGAGAGGGUGUCCGGCCACACUGGGACUGAGAUACGGCCCAGACUCCUACGGGAGGCAGCAGUGGGGAAUAUUGCACAAUGGGCGCAAGCCUGAUGCAGCGACGCCGCGUGGGGGAUGACGGCCUUCGGGUUGUAAACCUCUUUCACCAUCGACGAAGGUCCGGGUUUUCUCGGAUUGACGGUAGGUGGAGAAGAAGCACCGGCCAACUACGUGCCAGCAGCCGCGGUAAUACGUAGGGUGCGAGCGUUGUCCGGAAUUACUGGGCGUAAAGAGCUCGUAGGUGGUUUGUCGCGUUGUUCGUGAAAUC
rnacentral:rRNA from 1 species